rnacentral:rRNA from 1 species
AACGAACGCUGGCGGCAUGCCUAACACAUGCAAGUCGAACGAGACCUUCGGGUCUAGUGGCGCACGGGUGCGUAACGCGUGGGAACCUGCCCUUAGGUUCGGAAUAACUCCCCGAAAGGGGUGCUAAUACCGGAUAAUGUCUUCGGACCAAAGAUUUAUCGCCUUUGGAUGGGCCCGCGUUGGAUUAGCUAGUUGGUAGGGUAAAAGCCUACCAAGGCGACGAUCCAUAGCUGGUCUGAGAGGAUGAUCAGCCACACUGGGACUGAGACACGGCCCAGACUCCUAGGGGAGGCAGGAGUGGGGAAUAUUGGACAAGGGGCGAAAGCCUGAUCCAGCAAGGCCGGGUGGGUGAUGAAGGCCUUAGGGUUGUAAAGCUCUUUUCCCCGGGAUGAUAAUGACAGUACCGGGAGAAUAAGCCCCGGCUAACUCCGU